UGAGUGGCGAACUGGUGAGUAACACGUGGGAAACCUGCCCAGAAGCGGGGGAUAACACCUGGAAACAGAUGCUAAUACCGCAUAACAACUUGGACCGCAUGGUCCGAGCUUGAAAGAUGGCUUCGGCUAUCACUUUUGGAUGGUCCCGCGGCGUAUUAGCUAGAUGGUGGGGUAACGGCUCACCAUGGCAAUGAUACGUAGCCGACCUGAGAGGGUAAUCGGCCACAUUGGGACUGAGACACGGCCCAAACUCCUACGGGAGGCAGCAGUAGGGAAUCUUCCACAAUGGACGAAAGUCUGAUGGAGCAACGCCGCGUGAGUGAAGAAGGGUUUCGGCUCGUAAAACUCUGUUGUUAAAGAAGAACAUAUCUGAGAGUAACUGUUCAGGUAUUGACGGUAUUUAACCA
rnacentral:rRNA from 1 species